rnacentral:rRNA from 1 species
AUACGUAGGGGGCGAGCGUUGUCCGGAAUGACUGGGCGUAAAGGGCGUGUAGGCGGCCGAUUAAGUCUGGAGUGAAAGUCCUGCUUUCAAGGUGGGAAUUGCUUUGGAGACUGGUUGGCUUGAGUGCGGAAGAGGUAAGUGGAAUUCCCAGUGUAGCGGUGAAAUGCGUAGAGAUUGGGAGGAACACCAGUGGCGAAGGCGACUUACUGGGCCGUAACUGACGCUGAGGCGCGAAAGCGUGGGGAGCGAACAGGAUUAGAUACCCUGGUAGUCCACGCGGUAAACGAUGAAUGCUAGGUGUAGCGGGUAUCGACCCCUGCUGUGCCGCAGUAAACACAAUAAGCAUUCCGCCUGGGGAGUACGGCCGCAAGGUUGAA